ensembl:snRNA U6 U6 spliceosomal RNA
GUGCUCGCUUCGGCAGCACAUAUACUAAAAUUGGAAUGAUACAAGGAAGAUUAGUACGGCCCCUGCAUGAAAAAGAAAAAAAACUUUUUUCUUUUUUCCAUAUUUUU